rnacentral:rRNA from 1 species
GAUGAACGCUGGCGGCGUAGAUAAGACAUGCAAGUCGAACGGGAUUAAGAUGGUUAGCAAUAACUGACUUAGUCUAGUGGCGAAAGGGUGCGUAACACGUGAGAAUCUACCGAGAAGAAGGGGAUAGCUCGUCGAAAGGCGAAUUAAUACCCUAUGUUGUCGCAAGACCAAAGUGGGGGACCGCAAGGCCUCACACUCCUCGAGGAGCUCGCGGCCUAUCAGCUAGUUGGCGAGGUAAAAGCUCACCAAGGCAAUGACGGGUAGCUGGUCUGAGAGGACGACCAGGCACACUGGAACUGAGACACGGUCCAGACACCUACGGGUGGCAGCAGUCGAGAAUUUUUCACAAUGGGCGAAAGCCUGAUGGAGUGACGCCGCGUGGAGGAUGAAGGCCUUCGGGUCGUAAACUCCUGUCACUGCAGAACAAAUGCGGACGGUAAACAAUCGUCCGUCUUGAUUGUAUGCGGAGAGGAAGAGACGGCUAA